rnacentral:tRNA from 1 species
GGUAGGAUACUCAAGUGGCCAACGAGGGCAGACUGUAAAUCUGCUGGGCUUCGCCCUACGAAGGUUCGAAUCCUUCUCCUACCACCA